rnacentral:rRNA from 1 species
UACGGGGGGAGCAAGCGUUGUUCGGAUUUACUGGGCGUAAAGGGCGCGUAGGCGGUCAGCACAAGUCAGUUGUGAAAUCUCCGGGCUUAACUCGGAAAGGUCAACUGAUACUGUGCGACUAGAGUGCAGAAGGGGCAACCGGAAUUCUCGGUGUAGCGGUGAAAUGCGUAGAUAUCGAGAGGAACACCUGCGGCGAAGGCGGGUUGCUGGGCUGACACUGACGCUGAUGCGCGAAAGCCAGGGGAGCGAACGGG